rnacentral:rRNA from 1 species
AUUGAACGCUGGCGGCAUGCUUUACACAUGCAAGUCGAACGGCAGCGCGGGGGCAACCCUGGCGGCGAGUGGCGAACGGGUGAGUAAUGUAUCGGAACGUAUCCUGUAAUGGGGGAUAACCAGUCGAAAGAUUGGGUAAUACCGCAUACGCACGAGAGUGGAAAGUAGGGGAUCGCAAGACCUUACGUUAUAGGAGCGGCCGAUAUCUGAUUAGCUAGUUGGUGGGGUAAAGGCCUACCAAGGCGACGAUCAGUAGCUGGUCUGAGAGGACGACCAGCCACACUGGGACUGAGACACGGCCCAGACUCCUACGGGAGGCAGCAGUGGGGAAUUUUGGACAAUGGGCGAAAGCCUGAUCCAGCCAUGCCGCGUGCAGGAAGAAGGCCUUCGGGUUGUAAACCGCUUUCGCCUAUGACGAAGCUUUUGUGACGGUAGUAGGAGAAGAAGCACCGGCUAACUACGUG